rnacentral:lncRNA from 10 species
GAAGACUCUCUGCCCACCCCGCACAGCCUCAAAUAUCUGUAUGUGCUCUUCAGUUCUGGUGGUCAGAAGCCAGAAAUGGACUUUACAUGGCUGAAAUCAAGGUCCGCAGGGCUGUGUUCCCUCUGGAGGUUCUAGGGUAAGAAUCUGUUCCCUGGCCUUUUCCAGUUUCUUGGCUCAUGGCCGCUUCUUCCAUCUUUAAAGUCAGCAACACAGCCCCUUCAAUAUCUCUCUGACUCUGACCCUCUUGGUUGCAUUGUCGC